rnacentral:rRNA from 1 species
CAGUCGCCGCGGUAAUACAGAGGAUGCAAGCGUUAUCCGGAAUGAUUGGGCGUAAAGUGUCUGUAGGUGGCUUUUCAAGUCCGCUGUCAAAUCCCAGGGCUCAACCCUGGACAGGUGGUGGAAACUACCAAGCUGGAGUAUGGUAGGGGCAGAGGGAAUUUCCGGUGGAGCGGUGAAAUGCAUUGAGAUCGGAAAGAACACCAACGGCGAAAGCACUCUGCUGGGCCGACAUUGACACUGAGAGACGAAAGGUAGGGGAGCAAAUGGGAUUAGAUACCCGCGUAGUCCCUGUCUCUUAUAC